rnacentral:lncRNA from 1 species
CAUCAGUUUACUACAUGAAUGAAAAAACUAGAAAUACCAUUCUUCUACCAAAAAACUAGAAAAGUGGGAUAAUUCUGUGGUGACAAUGGAUUUGGAGUAGGAGCCAGUGAUACUGCUUCUGCAUGUUAGUGGUGGUCACAGAGGCCAAAAGACUAUGAGGAAGCUUCACUUAACCUACCUUGUAACAAUUGGCCAGUGAUUGGGUUGAUCUCUAAACAAAGGGUUUGAGGAACAUGAGUCACCAAUGCUAGAAAUUCUGUAGAAAGUUUCUGUACAAGAUGGCUUGGGGCCCCAAAGAAGAUUCUUUGUGUACUAAAUAGCUGACUUUUUGACAUCCCUCAGGUUCUUCCUUUCUAAACUGGACUCAGCAGAAUGGUUCCUGCAAAGGCACGAGUAAGAAGAAAUGCCAACUGUCCUCGAUGAGGUGGUGACUCGAGAAUAUAUCAUCAAUAUUCAAAAAUGCAUCCAUGGAAUGGGGUUCCAGAAGUCUGUGGGCUUGGCUCAGGGUUAGAGUGCUUGCCUAGCAUGCAGGAAGUCCUGGGUUUCCAUCCUCACAUUGCCAAACAAAACAAAGUCAAAAGUGUAUCCUUCAGGCACUCAGAUCUGAAAAAGAUCUGGAAAUCUACCAGGAGGGUGAUGGAGACUCCAGAUGUGUACAAUGAUAUCAGGCUCAGGAAAACUAUCUGGGCCAAAUGAUUAAGAAAUGUUUCAUAUGGUUUCCAUGUGUGUGGUUGUCCAGAAAAUGUAAUAAGUAUGAAGAUUCACUAAAUAAGCUGUAUGUUCCCUUCACAAUUUUCAUUUCCAAAAAUCCACAGUCCAUGGGGUGAAGAACUAACUGCUUAUUAUCAAAGUUGUAAAACUACUGAAAAACACACAACCUCCCCCUGCUCCCAAACCCCAACUUUCCCAUUCAGGAGACUAAGCCUCUCAAUAUGACUAGGUGGUAGAGAGGAAAUUCAGCCCAGUCUGAUGCCAUAACCUGGGGCCACAUCCAGGAAGAUUUAUGGUUAGAUUCACAGUUAGCAAAACUAACUACCUGAGUUAAACAACUUAAAAGGAAGAAAGGCUUAUUUUGGCUCACAAGUCAGAGGUUUCAGUCCAAGGCAACUUGAUCCCAUUGCCUUUGGGCCUGUGGGAGCACAGGGCACAAUGACAGGAGAGAUGGUGAAAGAAGCUGUUUAUAGCAUAGGGCCAGGAAGCAGAGAGAACUAGGAAGAGGACAGGGUCCCAAUGUCCCCUUCCAGUGCACACCUCCAGUGUCCCAACUUUCUUCCACUAGCCUGUUGUAGUCAGAUUUUUCACUGCUGUGGAAGUGGCCCCCCCUUUCUCCACAAAAAAAGUCUUAACUGGGCUUCUCCAGAAAACUUUACCAUAGCUGGACACCCCCUGACUAGUUUUUCACAAACAUAUCCAGUAUAGUAGUUUGUGGAAAUGUGCAAACAAGGCCUCUGGCCUUGAGCUGGGCUUCACAGAGAUGUUUACAUUUUUUAAGAGAAGUUACCAAUUGGGCUUCAUGGUAACAGCUGGCGGGGGGCGGGGGGGAGAAAGGAGAGAAGAAGCUCUCCCCUUCUCAGGUGUUGUCCUUGAAGAAUUAACUUGCCCCAAACAGUGAGAGAAAAAGCUGCUUUUAUGUGAACUUCUGCAGACUGUGAACUUCUGAGCCCCUCCCCUUACAUGUUGGGUAUAAAACGCUGAAACUACCUGAACUCAGGGUUCAGGGGAUUGAUAGA